rnacentral:miRNA from 1 species
AUUUUAUGAGGUCGGUCCAU